ensembl:lncRNA
UUUUAUCUUCCUUCCAUCUCCACCUAUCCCGAAGGUCACAGAGAGCAUGUUUUGAUUCGCUAUUCAUUAUUCAGGACUCUGGGACCCUGGAGGAAAAGUCCUGGGAGGUUAUACUGACACAGAAGUGAUAAAUUCCAUUUCACCAUUGAUUUUUAUAGCUGCUGCAUUUCUUUCAGCCUCUUCUUGCCCCAAGCAGCAUUAAUAAUAGAUGACAUGUCUUCUUCUGAAUUUAAUGUUUAGUCUGUCGCUGAAGCAGGCCCAUGCAACUAACAUGUUCUUGUUUUCUUUUUGGCCACACCCUUGCCAUGUGAAAGUUCCAGGGCCAGGGAUCAAACUCAAGCCAAAGCAGUAACCUGAGCCACAGCAGUAACAAUACACAAUUCUUAACCUCUGGCCACCAGGGAACUCCAACAUGGCUUUUCUUCUGAAAUCCUAUGUCCUGAAAUAGCUCUGAAACAUAUUUAGUGGUGGGGGGUGUGUAGGCUAUCAUCAGAUGUGCAACUUUAACUGAAUGACUUGGAUGACUUGGUCCAGGCCUUAUGUGAGACUUGGGUGAUAGACUCUCUUUUAAACAAAGAAGACACUAAAACACAGAAAGGUUAAGCAACUUGACCAAGGCCAUGGAGCUAGUUAGUGGCACAACUGGGGACUGGAUUUAUACUUAAAUUUUCCUAUUCCUAGACUAUCCUUCUCACUCUGUCUAAUCGCCUGCCCAUUAAUGGGGACAGCCUGGGGAGAACGUGCUGGGAGGGGAUGUGAUGGCUGCAUGGUGAGCUCAUAACAGGCGCAGAGGGGAUGAGGGAGGUGGGAGGGUGGAGGAUGGAAAUCAACAGGGGAGGAAAACAGGGGGUGUGCCAACCCCAGGGCAAGGCUCAAACAAUCCAGUCUAAUCCAAAUCAGGCUGGCAAGCAUCUUUGAUUGGUCCAUCCGGCUGAGUUCUCCAAGCUGUAUUCCCUGAACUGUGCCCAGCUGGCAGAAUGAAAAUCAUUUGAAAAAUAUCCGGAAAUUGCUACUCACCAGGGAGCAUCUGUGAAAAAUACUGGCCACAAAUGAGCUGGCAGGGACUCAGUAACUGCCAGGUCACUCUGCCAUAGCCAGUUUGUCUGAAGGGGUUCUGCAGUUAUUUCCCAGUUGGGCCACUCAGCUGCUGUAUGUGGUUGGGCCUUGGGGACUUUUUUUUUUUUUUACAGUGUUUCUUUUGAAGCAGGAGAUGUGCUCUAGAAAAGCUAUGGGUAAAUCAGAGUUUCGUACCUGGAAUCAUAGUUUUCAAGUGCACUCAUGAAUAUUCCUGUGGUAACUCUCUAAACUGAAAGAUUUUUCACAAAUAAUUUCCAUUUUGUAAAUCUGGAUUUCUUAAUGCAAAAUUCAUCCAGGGUCAUCCUGGUGAAGAAAUUCCAGGGCAUAGACGUAAUCUGCAUUUUUGCACAAUCAUUGCCGGGAAUGGUAGUGAGAAGCAGGGUUAGAUCAUCUUCUCAGUAGACUGGGAUCCUAAGAUUUGGCAACUUGUCCAGCCUCUGGUCCCAGUGGCUCCUUAGGAAAUCACAGCUGGAAAAACCUAGCCGUUCAUUUUAGCUCAUCGUUUCUUACGCCUGGUUAUUCCCAGGAUCCUCCAGUGGUUUUUCUUGUCUCCUACAUCCUAAUGUCCUCUUCACAAUGCUGAUGUUCUCAGCAAGAUGUAAUGCAAAUAUUUUGCUUUGAGCUCAGAGUCCAGGCUCUUUGAUCUUCUUUGGGUAUGAGACCACUUGCUGACCCUUCUGGACUGUUUGCUGUUUUCUCUGGUCUUUUCACCUGCUGGGUAGAAUCAAGCAGUUCCCCAGAAAAGAGUGUUCUGAAUUUUAAGAGAACAGUUGAAAUUAAGAGAAUAAAAUGUGUGCUGACCAUUUGUAUUAGUCAGAGUUCUCUAGAGAAACAGAACCAACAGGAUAUAGAUGUAGAGAGACGUGUGUGGACAUGGGUAUGAGGAGAGUAUCAGAGGAACUGGCCCAUGUGAUUACAGAGUCUGAGAAGCUCCACCGUCUACCACCUGUGAGCAGGAGAACCAAGAAAGCCUGUGGGGUGUUGCCAUUUAGUCAAAGUCCAAAGGUCUGAGAACCAGGGGAGCCACUGGUAUAAGUCUGGGUUGCAGUCCCAGGACCGAAGAUCCAGGAGUGCUGAUGACUGAGGGUGGAGAAGACAGAUGUUCUGGCUCAACACAGACAGCAAAUGUGCCCUUCCUCUACUUUCCUGUUCUAUUCCUGGCUCAGCAGCUUGGACGAUGCCCACCUGCAUGGCGAGGGCAAUAUUUGUUACUCAGUCCACUGAGUCAAACCCUAAUCUCUUCCUGAAGCACCCUGACAUCAUGUUUUAUCAGUUAUCAUGCAUCUCUUAGCCCAGGCAGGCUGACACGUGAAAGGAACCAUUGUACAUCAUCCAAAUCAAAUACACAAACUGCCCUGCUCAUGACCGUCUAUCCUCUCGGUGGCCUGUCUGGGGGCUUCUAUCUCUUUUAAAGACACGCAAGCCUGAAAAGAAAGAAAGCACAGGGAUGGAAACGAUCUAGCAAACAGUAAGACCCCUCUUUAGGGAAGAUGAAAACGUCCCAGAUAGGUCCUACAAUGGCCCUCAGAGAAGACUUCCCAAGAAUUCAGGACUUGAUUUCUUCAAAGGCUUUUGCUUUGUGGGUUCCCCUCCCCUGAACUUGACCUUUCAGCUCCACUCAGUACGAAGGCUCUCCCAGAGAGAGAGAACUGAGAGUGAGGAGAAAGAGCCUUUGGGCAGCUAAGACAUAUGGGAGAGAAACAAUGGGAAAGGGGGUUUUAAAUACUGCUGAGUGACUGGAUUUGACUCUCUCUUGAUUUCUUUAAAAAACACAGCUGAAGAAUUCCCAUUGUGACACAGCAGAAACAAAUCCAACUAGUAUCCAUGAUGAUGCUGGUUUGAUCCCUGGCCUUAGUUCAGUAGAUCGGGGAUCUGCCGUUGCCAUGAACUGUGGUGUUGGUCGCAGAUGUGGCUCAGAUCCCACGUUGCUGGCUGUGGCUCUGUAUCUGCGACCUACACCACAGCUCGUGGCAACGCUGGAUCCUUAACCCACUGAACGAGGCCAGGGAUGGAACCUGCGUCCUCAUGGAUGCUACUCAGAUUGUCAGAUUCGUUUCCGCUAAGCCAUGAAGGGAACUCCCACUGUAGUGUUUUCAUGCGUAAGAGGAUGCCAGAAAAGCAUCCCAUUUGAGUCUACUCAUUAGAAGUCAAGCGCCUUCUGGCCAGAUAAGGCAAAGGAUCCGUGACAGAAAGGUUAAAAUCAAGUUUUGUUUCUGCUCUUUGCAAGGAUUUGGUCAUUUCGGUGUAGGAAAAAAGGACUGCUUUGUGAGGGGGAGACACACAGUGAUUGCCUUCAUAAGCUAAAGGCUGAUUUUGUGGAAGGGGGGUUGCAAUAUUCCUGUGUAACUCCAGAGAAGAAGCAGCACUGUAAGUCAAGGUGCAGGGAAAUAGUUUAGUUCGAUAAAAGACAGUUAAUGAUUAGGGACCUUGAAAAUGAAGUGGGCUUCCCUGUGCAGUGGUGAGCACUGUACCAUCUGAGCAUCUUGAUGAAGACGUUAUGUCAAUUAAUCAGCUAACUUAUGUGUCCCACAUUUAUUAACACAUUGUGGGGUAGUAGAAAGAGUCUAGGACAUGGGGAGUUCCUGUCGUGGCGUAGUGGAAACAAAUCUGACUAGUAUCCAUGAUCCCUGGCCUCGCUCAGUGGGCUAAGGAUCCAGCGUUGCCAUGAGCUGUGGUGUAGGUCACAGAUGUGGCUUGGAUCCCACUUUGCUGUGGCUGUGGUAUUGGCCUGCGGCUACAGCUCCAAUUUGACCCAUAGCCUGGGAAUCUCCAUAUGCCACGUGUGUGGCCCUGAAAAAGAAAAAAAAAAUGUCCAGGACUUGGAAUCAAGCCUCAAUUCAAACCCCAAAUCCCUUACUUACUGUGUGACCUUGGGAAUGCAAUUUAGCUUUCAGAGGGCUAAUGUGAAAACCAGAUAACAUAUAUCAAGCACUUGGCACAGAGUAGGUGCUCAUAAGUAUUUGCUCCCUGCCUCUUUCUUCUGUCUCCAUCUUUGUUUCAGGUUUUAGGAAAAUCAGGCUGAAUAAGAUCCUGUGUCUCCCUUCCAGAAAUUCCUCAGCUAAUAGUGGGAGACAACCAGAAACAAAUAUAGGUAACAUGCAAAGGUUAAUGGAGGCCCAGCGUGGGGAGGGACUUCCAGCAUUCUGCAAGAGUUGAUGCUUAUCACUCAGGCUCUUGUUGCUGUCAUUUGAAUUCUACUGCACACAGAGAAUGGCUUUGCAUCUUGGAAUAUCUACCCAUCACUGAGAAAUGCUAAGGGGCAAAGAAAAUUUGUGCUAGAAACCAGAGACCAUAUUCCCCUUAGUUCUUUGUUUCUUUGAAAUCAUUAAUCCAGCAAACAUUUUUCUGAGCCCCUACCCAUCCUGGCAGCUGGGGAUGGAGAGUUCUUGACCACAUGGGGUUCACAGUCUGUCUGGGGAGACAGGCUAAGAUGGACAAAGAGAGUUGGUCCACAAUCCUUCAAUAUCCAUUGCAACCACGAGUGUCUUCUUCUCACUUUCCCACAUUAGAGUUAUGUUUCUCCUUGGAUAAGAAAACUGAAUUUGGCCAACACUGCGCUUCUUCCUCCAAUGCCUCUGAACCCACAAUAGGCUUUUUUUUUUUCUUUCGAGUUUUAAUUCAAAAACUUUCUUUUUGGAAUUUUAAAUAGGGAUAUCCAAACUCUUCUGGUCACAUUUUUUUUUUUGGAAAUAAUUUUGAACUUACAUUUAGAUAAAUUAUAUCCAAAUAGGAAUAGUCUUAACUAAUUUCUCAAGGUGUAAUUCAGUCCUGUGCAAUGUGGUGUGUGUGUGUGUGUG